AAAAGCGGCAAAAAGAUUCCAACCACUCUACAGUGUUGGUGUUUCAUUCCAUCGCUAGCAGUCUCCCAAGUGAGCCAGGCUGGUGAGCCAGGCAGAACUCUGGACUGGAGUGAAGAAAUCCUGAGGCAGGAGCUGCUUGAUCUGCAAGCGACGAGGCCACUGUGGCCAGAGAGGGCGAAAACAAGGAUUGAAAGGAUGCACUUUGGAGUUUUGCACUGUUGGACAUCCAAUUUAUGUGGUUGUGAAGAACUGCUAAGCAGUUUAUCUUCUAUCCAUUUUAACGAUCAAAACUGAAUUCCGAUGAAGCCCUUCUACUAUGACUACUGUACUAUUCUGUACUGCCUGUUGUUGACAAAGUGACCGUGUGACAAAUUGACAGCCACCUUUAAUAAAUGUGGUUGUAAGCAAACUAUCCUGCAUAAAGCCCUACAAGUUGAGUCAGGCUUUGGGGACAAAAUAUCAUGAAGCAUGAAACCAGAGUGUCUAAGCACGGGUAUCUUCCAAGAGAUUCGAAACAUCAGAAUAAACAAGUGAGAAUAGCCUCUUCCGAUUCAACAAACCUAAGCCAGACUAAAGGAGGACGUGGGCAUCAUGUGAAUUCAAAACUAAUUGGCUUUAUUAUUUCCUGCUGCUGCAGGACAACAAACAGCUGACUCCUUUUUUCACUUUCUAAAAGCAAAAAGGUUGGUGCUGGUUGUCACCAUGAACAUCCAAUGACUGGUUCAUUCUUGCACAAGUGGAACCCAUGGGAAAUGCUGCCAAUAACUUGGUCUAUUCCUUAUCUUCCAUUCUCAGCAGACAACAGAUUCGUCUAUUUUUUUUACAAAGAAGCAUACAUUUUUCAGUUAGUAUACAAACAACAACACUAUGUGAUUCCUUUUGGUCUCAGUCCUCAGGGCUUUGGAGAAAGGAGAAGAAAACCAAAGCAUUUGGAGCAUCAGUGUGGCUGGACCAAGCUUCUCAUAGCCUCCAGGGAAGGCCCACUGCUUGCGGGGAAGUCCCGCUCAGAGACAUGCACUGAGCCAGCUCGCCAGGUUCUUCUGUCCAUGGGAUAGUCCAGACAAGAAUACUGGAGUGGAUUGCCGUGCCCUCCUCCAGGAGAUCUUCCUGACACGGGGAUCGAAGCCACUUCGUUUAUGUCUCCUACACUGGCAGUGUUAUCAUCACCAUCCUCUCUGUUGAAUCUAUUUGAGCAGGUAAGCAGAGCCCAGAUGACAAAUUUAAUUGAAACAGUGCCUAGAGAUGACUUUGGUCAUAUUUUUCCCCAUUUAUUUACCAUUUAAACACAGACUAAUUUUGAAACCAGCAUAGCAAGAUCUAUUUCUGAAUAUGUUUCUGGUUUUUAUACUGUUUGUUUAUUUGUUUGUUUUUAUAUCUACUGUUGAUUGUACAUAAUAUCCAGGUAGGAGCAUGGGAGGAAAAGGAAAUGGCAAC
ensembl:lncRNA